AAAAAAAAAAAGAAAAACUUAAAAUUUUAUCAUCUUUGCCUAGUUUAAGUAUUCCCUCUCCCUUAGAAAUUCUGAGUCAGGAAGCACCAAGUUGCAACCUGGGAAUCUUUUUAAACCCCUCCCCCUCACUUGCCCAUAGUCCUAGGUAAUUUUAAAAAUCAGACACAUUUGUGAAACACUACACUAAUUGCGGGAGAUGGGAAGCAAAGCAUUUAUUUCCAAACUCUGAGCCAAACAGGAAUAUCAACAGGAAGAGAGAGAGGAGUUCCAUUAGCUUCAUUACUUAUAAUGAAUUCAAGGUCACGAGAGGCAGCCAACAGCUAUCAGCACUUAGAAGCAUCUCUCAAAUGUACACGCUGCGACCAAGGGGCGCUUGACAGUUAUGCCAUCUACCUGUUGAACCUGGGCUACUGCUCUCCACGACUGUCAAAUGGGCUAAAUCAGCUUAUUCGACCUAGAAAUGCUAAU
rnacentral:lncRNA from 1 species